AGUCCCAAAAAAAAUAACAAAUUAAACUUCUUAAUUUUUUUUUAUUUAAAUCAAAAUAUCAAGAAAUUUAGCCCGUAAAAUUUGAUUUUGGACUAAAUCGAACUUAAAUUGAAACCUGUUGGCUAAUUUGGACAAAAAAUUAAAAAUGAGCUAAAUUGAAUUUCUCCAAUAAGUAUAAGGGUGAAAUUGAACAUUUUGCCAAUUCUGGGCAUAUGAAAGAAUUUAGGCAUUUUCAAUGGACAUGUAUUUGCAUUUGUCGUGAUUUGAUUUUGGAGGUCUCAUUUUGGUGACAAUUCAGUCAAAUGGGUGAUAAGUGUCCAGGGAAAACAAGGUGUCUAUCAUGGAACUUUAUUCCCAGAUUAGGACCAAGUUUCUUUCUUCAUCAAAGAUGGGAAAGUUUCCGCUGUUGAUAGGUAUCUUUCAGAUGUUUCUAAUAGGCAAAACAAUAGGACAAAAGGGCUCUUCCGAAAAGAAAGGAAGCCAUCUGUGGGUUAGGUUCUCCUUAUUAUGGUCUGUAUAUAUUAUCCUUAAUUUAAGUAAUUUUUCAUCAUUGUUUAGGAGUGUAAAAUGAUUCUGUAGUUUAUGUAGUAUGCCAUCUCUUCAUUGAUUCCAAUUGCUUAACUUGAUGAUGCAUAUCAAGGGCUUUUGCAAGGGCAACACUACAUUUAUGUUAACAGAGUGAGAUUUAAUUGCUUGUCAACCAAAUGUGCGAUUGCUCCCUACCAUUUUGCAGUGAGUACUAUCCUAAAUACUGAUUAGCAUUUGAUUCAUUGAAUCUACCAAUCACCGUUAAAGAACAAAAACGAAGAAAGGCUAAGAAUAUCAAUUACAUGCUAACAAUUGAAUCUUGCCUGUCUGAACAGUUUUGAGUGAUCCUGUCAGGAGGAGAGAAUAUGACAAGAAAGAGAUGCUUUAUGUCCAUGAUUAUAACAUAAUCGAUUAUCUUAAUCGCUACAAGGGCCUUAUAUUAACAUGUAAUGGUCUUGGGAUUAGAAAUUCAAUCUGGUAAAUCUAAAACUGCUAUGCGUUUCCAUUGCCACAACUGUUCCUCAUACAUGGCAACACUAUUAAAUUUGCCGAGUCUCCGUAGCAACUAACACUGUGGAGUAUGAAGAGCAGCACAUUAAGAAUGCACUGCGGAGUUGUAGGCGCAUGUGCAUUAAUAUGGUAGACAUUGAUAGUUUAAUGUCCAGUAUAACAUCAUGUAUCUGUCGUCUCAUCGCUUUUGAGGGUAGCGAUCUUGCUGAUAUCUUAUGGUGAUUUUUUUAGCUUCUCAUAAUGUGGUCGUUGUAGUUAUCAGUGGUGGUUUGUUUUAUUCAACCAGAAAAACAGCUGUUAGUGAAUAAUUGGGAUUGAGUGAUGUUCAAGCCAAUUUUAAGCAAAGCAGUCCUAAUCCCUAAAAAAAAUAUCAUAUAGAAGUGGUAAUAAAUUAAUAAUAGUGGAGAGAAAGCAAAAAAAAAUAGCAAUAAUUUUUUGUUUUGAGUUUGGUAAUGUUGCGACUUUUAUUGUAUUAUCAUCCAUUAACUAAUUGCGUUCUAAAGGCAAAAGAAGAUGGAAGUUAAG
rnacentral:misc_RNA from 1 species